rnacentral:tRNA from 1 species
UGUAGGAAGGUGUUUGAAGCAUAGAAAACUUUGAUUUUUAAGGAUGAGUUUGAAUCUCAAUUCUACAA